rnacentral:rRNA from 1 species
UACAGGGGGUGCAAACGUUGCUCGGAAUCAUUGGGCGUAAAGCGCGUGCAGGCGGCCUGGUAAGUCGGCCGUGAAAGCCCCCGGCUCAACUGGGGAGGGUCAUUCGAUACUGAUCGACUCGAAGGCAGGAGAGGGUGGUGGAAUUCCCGGUGUAGUGGUGAAAUGCGUAGAUAUCGGGAGGAACACCAGUGGCGAAGGCGACUACCUGGCCUGUUCUUGACGCUGAGGCGCGAAAGCUAGGGGAGCAAACGGG